UACAGCACCUUGACUUAUAUUGCAGGUUUCUCAAAUGUCCUAGCUUUUGCAGGUAACAUCACUAGAUGGACAAAAUAUUGCAAUCAUUUGGAAACGUUGGCCAGGGUUUAACGAAGAUUAUAACAUGGACCAUGAGUUUUUUGGCCUAGACUUCUUGGUCUCACUCACUCCACCAGAAAAGGCUCUUCUUUUGGCUGCUACAUUUUUACUGAACUACAUGUUCUUUGAGAUGAGCUGAGAAAUAUGUGCCUGAGAAGAAAGACUUGUGUUAACUGCUUGCAAAAGAGUUCAUCUACAGUAUUUCCUUAUAUGAUGGAAGUCUCUGACCUUAGUGAGACAACUUAGUGUUACUUUGUACAUGUAUAUAACAAGCCAUAAAGUGGUGGUAUUCGGACCCCAAAAAUAACUGUUUGAGGAGGGGAAGAAACCCCCCCCCAUUAUUUUCUACAAACACAUUACAAGAGAUGAACUUUGCCGAUCCUAUUAAGCUAACUAGAACAUAAAAAUUGUGCAUUAACUAGUAAUGUCGCUGAUAAUGACGAAAGCAUUCCAUUUAACGCUUACUUAUAUUUCCAAACUGAAAUUAUAUAAGAACCAUUUAGUAGUAUAACAAUGUAGUAGAAGUUGACAGGACAUCAUAUGGGGAGGUUCUCCUUAUAGUGUUAUAAACAGUAAUGCAAGUUUGCAUUGACAAAAACCUGAUUUGAUAUAAAUUUUCGUU